rnacentral:snoRNA from 1 species
AGACCAUUAUGUGGAUAGCUCCUCAAUAAAUUCUUGAACCGUUCUUAACAAUCAUACAAAGUUUCAUUCUCUUGCUGAAGAAAUCAUGGUAUAUCAUUCCUCAACUU